rnacentral:rRNA from 1 species
UACGUAGGGGGCAAGCGUUGUCCGGAUUUAUUGGGCGUAAAGAGCGUGUAGGCGGUUUGGUAGGUCCGUUGUGAAAACUCGAGGCUCAACCUCGAGACGCCGAUGGAAACCAUCAGACUAGAGUCCGGAAGAGGAGAGUGGAAUUCCUGGUGUAGCGGUGAAAUGCGCAGAUAUCAGGAAGAACACCCGUGGCUAAGGCGGCGUCUCUAGUACGGUACUGACGCUGAGACGCGAAAGCGUGGGGAGCGAACAGG